CAAAAUUAUGAUAACUGUUAAGCAAUUCUAAGUGCAUAUAUGAUGACUAGACAGGAAUGAGGCCUUUUCCAGAAAGGCAGAGGUGUAGUUUAAAGCAAUUGUUGGCUCAAAGGAGGGGAAAUCUUUUUUCUCCAUGGGGUUGCUUCAUAAAUUAUAAUUGAUUUUAUAAUAAUUUAUUAUUAAUAGUAUGUCCAGCAUUCUUAAUAGUAAGUUAAUUCAGCUUUCUUAAUCUUAAGUGAAUUUACAGAUACUUGACACUUUGAAAAUUCUAUUCUAUGGGGGUAUUUUGUUAGUAAUGGUGGGUGUGGAGGAAACUACUACAAAACAUUAGUCUGUAUGUACCUCUGCCCAUGAAUUGCCACAUGUUAUAGUGAACCUACUCUGCAUUGUGAGGCAGAACCCAAAAUUGCAACCACCUUAAGGCUAAAUAACACAAUUGAAAACUUUGUGUAAUGCAAACAGGGUAUUUAAGGUUUACCUAAUCUUUGGACACCAGCUGCAGCAGUUGAUGUAAACUAUAUAAAAAUGAAUGUUCUAAUUAAAGAAUAAGAAUUUUGAACUUAAAAAAGGAGUUUUUACCUUUUAGAGAAUCUAGUUUUGAGAAAAAAAAUGGAUACUAAGAUAUCCAGAAGCAUAUAUAGUCAUGAGUAUGUUCAUGGGUUUAUUGGACACCUGGGUGCAUAUCAGCAAGUUUGGUUCACCAUCCACUACUUUGAAAGUCAAGAGCCAGGAGCCAAGCAAGCAGAACACCAGAUUCAUACCAGAUCAGAGAGGAGUUGAGCAUCGUCAGUUUGUGUUUCAUUGACUAUCCAUUUCAAAAUCAAGUGAAACAAGCAUGUCCUAUUAAAAUGGGGUGAUAAUAUGGAAGCAAGUUUUUAAACUUUGAAGAAGCUGAAGGAAUUUUUAAGCCAAAUUCUGUUGGGAGACAAGUCAAUCCUUGACAAGUUUGAAACUUUGUCUGCAUCUUGUCCUGAAGCUGAAUGAACCAGCUGGAGGAGCAAGGAACAGCCUCUGAGUUUUUUCUCUUCACACCUUCCAAUCAAAUCAUAUUUUCUUUUAGUUUUUAGAUGUGAUUGUAACUUGUACAGGAAUUGAUAUUGCCUAUUAAAACUGAUUUAACAAAAUGA